rnacentral:rRNA from 1 species
GCGUGCAGGAAGAAGGCCUUCGGGUUGUAAACUGCUUUUGUACGGAACGAAAAGGUCUGGGUUAAUACCCUGGGCCCAUGACGGUACCGUAAGAAUAAGCACCGGCUAACUACGUGCCAGCAGCCGCGGUAAUACGUAGGGUGCAAGCGUUAAUCGGAAUUACUGGGCGUAAAGCGUGCGCAGGCGGUUAUGUAAGACAGGCGUGAAAUCCCCGGGCUCAACCUGGGAAUUGCGCUUGUGACUGCAUAACUAGAGUACGGCAGAGGGGGAUGGAAUUCCGCGUGUAGCAGUGAAAUGCGU